AGCGAACGCUGGCGGCAUGCUUAACACAUGCAAGUCGCACGGCUGGGUUUCGGCCUGGCAGUGGCGGACGGGUGAGGAUCGCGUAGGGAUCUGUCCUUGGGUGGGGGAUAACCGCGGGAAACUGUGGCUAAUACCGCAUGAGGCCUGUGGGCCAAAGGUCGAGAGACUGCCUGAGGGGGAGCCUGCGUCCGAUUAGCUUGUUGGUGGGGUAGUGGCUUACCAAGGCGACGAUCGGUAGCUGGUCUGAGAGGAUGAUCAGCCACACUGGGACUGAGACACGGCCCAAACUCCUACGGGAGGCAGCAGUGGGGAAUAUUGGACAAUGGGCGCAAGCCUGAUCCAGCAAUGCCGCGUGGGUGAAGAAGGUCUUCGGAUUGUAAAGCCCUUUCGGCGGGGACGAUGAUGACGGUACCCGCAGAAGAAGCCCCGGCUAACUUCGUGCCAGCAGCCGCCGCAGUAAG
rnacentral:rRNA from 1 species